rnacentral:rRNA from 1 species
GGCGCUGAGCGUCGUGCUUAUACUCUGCCGUCGGGACAGUAGUGAUAUCUUUAUUACUCUCCGGAGUGUAAAAUAUCGUCAGGUCUCGACGAGUAGGUGGGCCGCGGCGGUGAGCGCAGAAGGACUGGGCGUAGGCCCGUCUGGAGCCGCCGUCGGUGCAGAUCUUGGUGGUAGUAGCAAAUACUCCAGCGAGGCCCUGGAGGACUGACGUGGAGAAGGGUUUCGUGUGAACAGCCGUUGCACACGAGUCAGUCGAUCCUAAGCCCUAGGAGAAAUCCGAUGUUAAUGCAGUUGUGUCUUUAUUAUACGAAUGACAAUUAGUGUGAGAGUUUCAAACAGUUGACGUUCAUACUUUGAUACAGAUAUAUAAUAAUGCUGGCUGAUCUAUUAAUACUACUAUCACUCACUCACUCGCUCGCUAUUGAUAUAAGUGUAGCUCACUAUUUCUACUGUUUACGCGGUAGUUGUAGACUCUCACUUGGUUCAAUCAGUGUCAGUGUGUCGUGUGGUUUUGUAUGAUAGUUGAAACACUUUGUUAUUGUAGAAAAGUGUCUUCUGUCUCUAUCCACUAAUAUACAAAUCGUUGUUAGAGAAGUAUCACACUCAUUGGGCGAAAGGGAAUCCGGUUCCUAUUCCGGAACCCGGCAGCGGAACCGUUUACAAGUCGGGCCCUCAAUGAGAGUUCGUCGGGGCAACCCAACAGGACCUGGAGACGCCGUCGGGAGAUCCGGGAAGAGUUUUCUUUUCUGUAUGAGCGUUCGAGUUCCCUGGAAUCCUCUAGCAGGGAGAUAGGGUUUGGAACGCGAAGAGCACCGCAGUUGCGGCGGUGUCUGGAUCGUCCCCUCGGACCUUGAAAAUCCAGGAGAGGGCCACGUGGAGGUGUCGCGCCGGUUCUACCCAUAUCCGCAGCAGUUCCAAGGAGAC